rnacentral:rRNA from 1 species
GGAAACGAUGGCUAAUACCGCAUAAUGCCUACGGGCCAAAGAGGGGGAUCUUCGGACCUCUCGCGUCAAGAUUAGCCCAGGUGGGAUUAGCUAGUUGGUGAGGUAAUGGCUCACCAAGGCGACGAUCCCUAGCUGGUCUGAGAGGAUGAUCAGCCACACUGGAACUGAGACACGGUCCAGACUCCUACGGGAGGCAGCAGUGGGGAAUAUUGCACAAUGGGCGCAAGCCUGAUGCAGCCAUGCCGCGUGUGUGAAGAAGGCCUUCGGGUUGUAAAGCACUUUCAGUCGUGAGGAAGGUAGUUGCGUUAAUAGCGUAAUUAUUUGACGUUAGCGACAGAAGAAGCACCGGCUAACUCCGUGCCAGCAGCCGCGGUAAUACGGAGGGUGCGAGCGUUAAUCGGAAUUACUGGGCGUAAAGCGCAUGCAGGUGGUUUGUUAAGUCAGAUGUGAAAGCCCGGGGCUCAACCUCGGAAUUGCAUUUGAAACUGGCAGACUAGAGUACUGUAGAGGGGGGUAGAAUUUCAGGUGUAGCGGUGAAAUGCGUAGAGAUCUGAAGGAAUACCGGUGGCGAAGGCGGCCCCCUGGACAGAUACUGACACUCAGAUGCGAAAGCGUGGGGAGCAAACAGGAUAAGAUACCCUGGUAGUCCACGCCGUAAACGAUGUCUACUUGGAGGUUGUGGCCUUGAGCCGUGGCUUUCGGAGCUAACGCGUUAAGUAGACCGCCUGGGGAGUACGGUCGCAAGAUUAAAACUCAAAUGAAUUGACGGGGGCCCGCACAAGCGGUGGAGCAUGUGGUUUAAUUCGAUGCAACGCGAAGAACCUUACCUACUCUUGACAUCCAGAGAAGCCAGCGGAGACGCAGGUGUGCCUUCGGGAACUCUGAGACAGGUGCUGCAUGGCUGUCGUCAGCUCGUGUUGUGAAAUGUUGGGUUAAGUCCCGCAACGAGCGCAACCCUUAUCCUUGUUUGCCAGCGAGUAAUGUCGGGAACUCCAGGGAGACUGCCGGUGAUAAACCGGAGGAAGGUGGGGACGACGUCAAGUCAUCAUGGCCCUUACGAGUAGGGCUACACACGUG